UGUACCUUAGCAAGCGCAUCUUCAUUUGUUGCUAAUAUUAAUAAACCAAUUAAACAAACGGUUAAUAUUACAGCAACAAAGCCUAAAAAUAAAUUUUUUACUGUCAUCCCCUUACCCACAUUUCCUUACUCAUUUUUUAUCAUCUUAACACAUUAACGUUAAUGAAUUAGGUAUGUGGAU
rnacentral:sRNA from 1 species